rnacentral:rRNA from 1 species
UAACCUGCCUUACACAAGGGGAUAGCCUCUGGAAACGGAGAAUAAUACCCUAUGACAUUACAGCCUCGCAUGAAGCAGUAAUCAAAGUGUCUAGCGGUGUAAGAUGGACUUGCGUCUGAUUAGCUAGUUGGUGAGAUAACAGCUCACCAAGGCAACGAUCAGUAGCCGGCUUGAGAGAGUGUACGGCCACAUUGGGACUGAGACACGGCCCAG